ACUGGGGUAGCCCACCGCUAUUCCUUCACAUCUUCCUCCUUUUAAGCAAGGGUUCUCUCUAGCUUUUUACGGAGUCGCGGUAGUGCAGAAGGGCCAUCGAGAAGGUUUUCUUCUUUCUUGUCAGGUCUCGAAUGGUGGGACCUUAAUUAGUGUCAGGAUGAGGUUCUUCUCCUAUUUCUGAUAUGAUUGGUUUCAGCUCAGGUUAGGAUGAGGUUCUCCUUUUGUUCCUAACGGGGCUGCGGGGGCACAUAUGGGCACUGUAUGGCCUCUCCCCCCA
rnacentral:lncRNA from 1 species